rnacentral:rRNA from 1 species
UGAGGAAUAUUGGUCAAUGGACGAGAGUCUGAACCAGCCAAGUAGCGUGAAGGAUGACUGCCCUAUGGGUUGUAAACUUCUUUUAUACGGGAAUAAAGUGAGGCACGUGUGCCUUUUUGUAUGUACCGUAUGAAUAAGGAUCGGCUAACUCCGUGCCAGCAGCCGCGGUAAUACGGAGGAUCCGAGCGUUAUCCGGAUUUAUUGGGUUUAAAGGGAGCGUAGGCGGACGCUUAAGUCAGUUGUGAAAGUUUGCGGCUCAACCGUAAAAUUGCAGUUGAUACUGGGUGUCUUGAGUACAGUAGAGGCAGGCGGAAUUCGUGGUGUAGCGGUGAAAUGCUUAGAUAUCACGAAGAACUCCGAUUGCGAAGGCAGCUUGCUGGACUGUAACUGACGCUGAUGCUCGAAAGUGUGGGUAUCAAACAGGAUUAGAUACCCUGGUAGUCCACACAGUAAACGAUGAAUACUCGCUGUUUGCGAUAUACAGUAAGCGGCCAAGCGAAAGCGUUAAGUAUUCCACCUGGGGAGUACGCCGGCAACGGUGAAACUCAAAGGAAUUGACGGGGGCCCGCACAAGCGGAGGAACAUGUGGUUUAAUUCGAUGAUACGCGAGGAACCUUACCCGGGCUUGAAUUGCAACUGAAUGAUGUGGAGACAUGUCAGCCGCAAGGCAGUUGUGAAGGUGCUGCAUGGUUGUCGUCAGCUCGUGCCGUGAGGUGUCGGCUUAAGUGCCAUAACGAGCGCAACCCUUAUCGAUAGUUACCGUCAGGUUAUGCUGGGGACUCUGUCGAGACUGCCGUCGUAAGAUGUGAGGAAGGUGGGGAUGACGUCAAAUCAGCACGGCCCUUACGUCCGGGGCUACACACGUGUUACAAUGGGGGGUACAGAAGGCAGCUACACGGCGACGUGAUGCUAAUCCCGAAAGCCUCUCUCAGUUCGGAUUGGAGUCUGCAACCCGACUCCAUGAAGCUGGAUUCGCUAGUAAUCGCGCAUCAGCCACGGCGCGGUGAAUACGUUCCC